rnacentral:rRNA from 1 species
CCCUUAGAUGUCCUGGGCUGCACGCGCGCUACACUGGAAGUUACGGAUUGAGAUACUACCUUGUCCGAAAUGGUCCGGGUAAUCACCUAAAAGCUUGUCAUAAUUGGAAUAGAUUAUUGUAACUAGUAAUCCUGAACGAGGAAUUCCUAGUAAGUCCCAGUCAACAGCUGGUACUGAUUACGUCCCUGCCCUUUGUACACACCGCCCGUCGCUACUACUGAUUGGACGUUUAAGCAAGAUUUUUAAACACUGACAGUGUGUAGUUCACGCUAUACUACAGUGAGAAGAAGAAGAUCGAGCUUACUUGUCUAGAGGAAGUAAAAGUCGUAACA